GUAACACGUAUGCAACCUACCUCUUACUGGGGUAUAGCCCAGAGAAAUUUGGAUUAAUCCCCCAUAGUACCAUUAGACCGCAUGGUUUGAUGGUUAAAGAUUACGGUAAGAGAUGGGCAUGCGUCCCAUUAGUUAGUUGGCGAGGUAACGGCUCACCAAGACUUCGAUGGGUAGGGGUUCUGAGAGGAAGAUCCCCCACACUGGUACUGAGACACGGACCAGACUCC
rnacentral:rRNA from 1 species